AUUGAACGCUGGCGGUAGGCCUAACACAUGCGAGUCGAGCGGAUGAAGGGAGCUUGCUCCUGGAUUCAGCGGCGGACGGGUGAGUAAUGCCUAGGAAUCUGCCUGGUAGUGGGGGAUAACGUCCGGAAACGGGCGCUAAUACCGCAUACGUCCUGAGGGAGAAAGUGGGGGAUCUUCGGACCUCACGCUAUCAGAUGAGCCUAGGUCGGAUUAGCUAGUUGGUGGGGUAAAGGCCUACCAAGGCGACGAUCCGUAACUGGUCUGAGAGGAUGAUCAGUCACACUGGAACUGAGACACGGUCCAGACUCCUACGGGAGGUAGCAGUGGGGAAUAUUGGACAAUGGGCGAAAGCCUGAUCCAGCCAUGCCGCGUGUGUGAAGAAGGUCUUCGGAUUGUAAAGCACUUUAAGUUGGGAGGAAGGGCAGUAAGUUAAUACCUUGCUGUUCUGACGUUACCAACAGAAUAAGCACCGGCUAACUUCGUG
rnacentral:rRNA from 1 species